UGUGAACUUGUGAUGCAUUUUGUAA
rnacentral:sRNA from 1 species